rnacentral:rRNA from 1 species
UACAGAGGUCCCAAGCGUUGUUCGGAUUCACUGGGCGUAAAGGGUGCGCAGGUGGGCUGUUAAGUUCGAUGUGAAAGCCCCGGGCUUAACCCGGGAAUGGCAUUGGAAACUGUUGGUCUGGAGGGUUGGAGGGGGGACUGGAAUUCUUGGUGUAGCAGUGAAAUGCGUAGAUAUCAAGAGGAACACCAGUGGCGAAGGCGAGUCCCUGGACAAACCCUGACACUGAGACACGAAAGCCAAGGGAGCAAACAGG